rnacentral:rRNA from 1 species
CACGUAGGGCGCAAGCGUUGUCCGGAAUUAUUGGGCGUAAAGAGCUCGUAGGCGGUCUGUUACGUCUGCUGUGAAAACCCGGGGCUUAACCCUGGGCUUGCAGUGGAUACGGGCAGACUAGAGGCAGGUAGGGGAGAAUGGAAUUCCCGGUGUAGCGGUGAAAUGCGUAGAUAUCUGGAGGAACACCGGUGGCGAAGGCGGCAUCCUGGACCGGUAUUGACGCCGUGAGGCGACGCAAAGGCCAGG